GGUUAUUUCCUUUGGCACCUUUCAACACCCUGCAUUAUUACAUUCAGGAUGCCGGUGGGCGGAGUUGGAAGGGUCGUCAGCUAAAUGGGAAGCACCUGGGCCCAGCUGUGUCCCAGGAUAAAGAGACCUCUUCCACAGUUAUUGAGAGGACUCUCUCCAUGCAGACACUUUUUUGAUUUUGGUUGUGUAGUUUUGUGGCUUUUUGGUUAUUUCCUUUGGCACCUUUCAACACCCUGCAUUAUUACAUUCAGGUAUGCAAAACACUCACUUACACUACUGAUUACACACACGCCAUUGUUAAUUAUUUAGUUAUUUUAGUUAAUAAAUAUAUAUUUUGAUACUCCUUGUCUCCACGU
rnacentral:lncRNA from 1 species